GACGAACGCUGGCGGCGUGCUUAACACAUGCAAGUCGAGCGGUAAGGCCCUUCGGGGUACGACGAGCGGCGAACGGGUGAGUAACACGUGGGUGACCUGCCUCUAGCUCUGGGAUAAGCCUGGGAAACUGGGUCUAAUACCGGAUAUGACUCCACGGCGCAUGUUGUGGGGUGGAAAGCCUUGUGUGGCUAGAGAUGGGCCCGCGGCCUAUCAGCUUGUUGGUGGGGUGAUGGCCUACCAAGGCGACGACGGGUAGCCGGCCUGAGAGGGCGACCGGCCACACUGGGACUGAGACACGGCCCAGACUCCUACGGGAGGCAGCAGUGGGGAAUCUUGCGCAAUGGGCGAAAGCCUGACGCAGCGACGCCGCGUGAGGGAUGACGGCCUCGGUGGUAA
rnacentral:rRNA from 1 species